rnacentral:rRNA from 1 species
AUUGAACGCUGGCGGAAUGCUUUACACAUGCAAGUCGAACGGCAGCACGGGGGCAGCCCUGGUGGCGAGUGGCGAACGGGUGAGUAAUACAUCGGAACGUGCCCGGUCGUGGGGGAUAACGUAGCGAAAGUUACGCUAAUACCGCAUACGAUCUGAGGAUGAAAGCGGGGGACCUUCGGGCCUCGCGCGAUCGGAGCGGCCGAUGUCAGAUUAGGUAGUUGGUGGGGUAAAGGCCUACCAAGCCGACGAUCUGUAGCUGGUCUGAGAGGACGACCAGCCACACUGGGACUGAGACACGGCCCAGACUCCUACGGGAGGCAGCAGUGGGGAAUUUUGGACAAUGGGCGCAAGCCUGAUCCAGCCAUUCCGCGUGCAGGACGAAGGCCUUCGGGUUGUAAACUGCUUUUGUACGGAACGAAAAGGCUCUGGCUAAUACCUGGGGCUCAUGACGGUACCGGAAGAAUGAGCACCGGCUAACUACGUG